CAUGCUUUACGCAUCGAACUGUGGAAUCGCGAUCUCGUCAGUCGAAGCCCAUGUCCAUUCUACCGCGUCAUGGGCGAAGGUCGAGUUCCUGUGUUGCAAACCCGCCAAAAGCGGAAAUCGGUUGCGUUGCGGUUUGAUUUUCGCCUCAUCCCCGUUAAGGGUGAUGUGGUGAACGUGGAUGCGCCUCUUCUGCUCCAAACAUGCUCGUCCAGCGUGUUGUGGUGCACUAGAAGGUUGCUCGUGCUUUGGGAUGCGGAAAACCCUAUGUAGCCGGAGGGGUCGAAUCCCUUCAUCGCUCAAAAUGUCCAUGAUAUUCGAACGACGCGCAACUCUCGUCUCUCUUCCUCGAACAUGCUAGGACUCUGGCUUGUCGGGGAUCGGGAGCGGGUGUUGGGCUCGUGAAGGAAUGC
rnacentral:misc_RNA from 1 species